rnacentral:rRNA from 1 species
ACGCUGGCGGCGUGCCUAAUACAUGCAAGUAGAACGCUGAAGAGAGGAGCUUGCUCUUCUUGGAUGAGUUGCGAACGGGUGAGUAACGCGUAGGUAACCUGCCUGGUAGCGGGGGAUAACUAUUGGAAACGAUAGCUAAUACCGCAUGAAAUGGAUUAUCGCAUGAUAAUUCAUUGAAAGGUGCAAAUGCAUCACUACCAGAUGGACCUGCGUUGUAUUAGCUAGUUGGUGGGGUAACGGCUCACCAAGGCGACGAUACAUAGCCGACCUGAGAGGGUGAUCGGCCACACUGGGACUGAGACACGGCCCAGACUCCUACGGGAGGCAGCAGUAGGGAAUCUUCGGCAAUGGGGGCAACCCUGACCGAGCAACGCCGCGUGAGUGAAGAAGGUUUUCGGAUCGUAAAGCUCUGUUGUAAGUCAAGAACGAGUGUGAGAGUGGAAAGUUCACACUGUGACGGUAGCUUACCAGAAAGGGACGGCUAACUACGUGCCAGCAGCCGCGGUAAUACGUAGGUCCCGAGCGUUGUCCGGAUUUAUUGGGCGUAAAGCGAGCGCAGGCGGUUUGAUAAGUCUGAAGUUAAAGGCUGUGGCUCAACCAUAGUUCGCUUUGGAAACUGUCAAACUUGAGUGCAGAAGGGGAGAGUGGAAUUCCAUGUGUAGCGGUGAAAUGCGUAGAUAUAUGGAGGAACACCGGUGGCGAAAGCGGCUCUCUGGUCUGUAACUGACGCUGAGGCUCGAAAGCGUGGGGAGCGAACAGGAUUAGAUACCCUGGUAGUCCACGCCGUAAACGAUGAGUGCUAGGUGUUGGAUCCUUUCCGGGAUUCAGUGCCGCAGCUAACGCAUUAAGCACUCCGCCUGGGGAGUACGACCGCAAGGUUGAAACUCAAAGGAAUUGACGGGGGCCCGCAC